AAGGAAUUUGGUCAUCAAUUUGUUGAGUCUCGCGAUGAAUACGUUACUCAUAGGCACGGUACUGUUUACAGCCAGCCGCCGACAGGUUGGUUCAUGGUUCAUGCACGCCCACAGCGAGCUAGUGUGAGCGACCCAGGCCCGGUGUUGGCUCGUUCGUUCGCGAACCGGUUCGAAUGAACGAGUCUUUAGAACGAACGAACCGAACCGGUUCGUCUCUCUCGUUCGUUCGGUCGUCUCGUUCACCAUUCGAUUCACCGGAAACUCGACUGAACGAACGAACGAGUUUCCGGUAGCACUAACUCCACUGACGGUAAAUCGCAUCAUGGAAUGGACCCCAUUGCACGGUUCUCAGCUGAGUCAGUCAGACUCAGUGGAGUUAGUGCUACCGGAAACUCGACUGAACGAACGAACGAACGAACGAUUCGCGAACGACUCCUCGUGGCGAACUGAAUCACGCGAACUGGGUCACGGAAACAAA